GAUGAACGCUAGCGACAGGCCUAACACAUGCAAGUCGAGGGAAAGGGUAGCAAUACCUGAAACCGGCGCACGGGUGAGUAACGCGUAUGUAACCUGCCUACAACAGGGGGAUAGCUUUCGGAAACGGAAAUUAAUACCGCAUAAGACCACGCUCUCGCAUGGGAGUGUAGUAAAAUUUACGGAGGUUGUAGAUGGGCAUGCGUGACAUUAGCUAGUUGGUAAGGUAACGGCUUACCAAGGCAACGAUGUCUAGGGGUUCUGAGAGGAAGGUCCCCCACACUGGUACUGAGACACGGACCAGACUCCUACGGGAGGCAGCAGUGAGGAAUAUUGGUCAAUGGGCGCAAGCCUGAACCAGCCAUGUCGCGUGCAGGAUGACGGCCCUAUGGGUUGUAAACUGCUUUUGUACGGGAAGAAAAAGACUGCGUGUAGUCUAUUGCCGGUACCGUACGAAUAAGGAUCGGCUAACUCCGUGCCAGCCGCCGCCGUAACAC
rnacentral:rRNA from 1 species